rnacentral:tRNA from 1 species
GGCAUGAUGGCUGAGUGUUUAAGCGGUGGGUUGUAGCUCCAUGCACAGGGGUUCAAUUCCUCUUCAUGUCA